rnacentral:rRNA from 1 species
AGUGGCGGACGGGUGAAUAACGCGUGAGAAUCUGCCUUGGGGUCGGGGACAACCACUGGAAACGGUGGCUAAUACCGGAUAAGCCGAUUGGUGAAAGAUUUAUUGCCCGAAGAGGAGCUCGCGUCUGAUUAGCUAGUUGGUGAGGUAAGAGCUCACCAAGGCAGCGAUCAGUAGCUGGUCUGAGAGGACGAUCAGCCACACUGGGACUGAGACACGGCCCAGACUCCUAUGGGAGGCAGCAGUGGGGAAUUUUCCGCAAUGGGCGAAAGCCUGACGGAGCAAGACCGCGUGAGGGAGGAAGGCUCUUGGGUUGUAAACCUCUUUUCUCAGGGAAGAAGCUCUGACGGUACCUGAGGAAUCAGCCUCGGCUAACUCCGUGCCAGCAGCCGCGGUAAUACGGAGGAGGCAAGCGUUAUCCGGAAUUAUUGGGCGUAAAGCGUCCGCAGGUGGCGAUUCAAGUCUGCUGUCAAAGCACGGGGCUUAACUCCGUAAAGGCAGUGGAAACUGAAUAGCUAGAGUGCCGUAGGGGUAGAGGGAAUUCCCGGUGUAGCGGUGAAAUGCGUAGAGAUCGGGAAGAACAUCGGUGGCGAAAGCGCUCUACUGGACGGCAACUGACACUCAGGGACGAAAGCUAGGGGAGCGAAUGGGAUUAGAUACCCC